UGUAUCUAUAUACCGUCCGUGCAUUGGCUGACGCGGAGGUAUGCUACCGACUCGGCUGCGUGGACGCGGGCACGAAGAAAGGAGCGCCGACUGACCAACGAUACUUUGACUGCGCAUGUGUGCCACUCAAGUGCAACAGUUCACGAGGCAUCCCAGGCCCCGAAAGAAGUUGGAAGAAGAUGCAAGCGCAGCAUGCCAAUGUUGUUGAAUAUUGCAGCACGAAGUUUCCAGGCGCAAGUGUUUCUUAUAUAAAAGAAAGCCUAUUCUCUCCCCUCACAAGGGAAAUAAAAUCACUAUAUAAAAAUGCC
rnacentral:lncRNA from 1 species